CUCAUUCUUCUCUGUCUUCAGUCUUAGCCUCGGUCUCGAUGCAAAACACAACGACAGCAACAACCUUUACCAUCAGUGGUGUCCUGUGCACACACUAACCUACCAAAUUACCCUAUCCAUCAACAAUAAUCAAAUUAACAUCAUCAAUUAACUUAUGUAUGGCUUCCAUACUCACAAGCCCUCGCACUGUAGAAGAGAUCUUCAAAGAUUACAGCGCUCGUCGCUCUGCCCUCGUUCGUGCUCUCACUAUCGAAGCCGAUGAAGUUUACAUUCAAUGCGAUCCAGAAAAAGAAAAUCUGUGCUUGUAUGGACAUCCAACUGAGUCCUGGGAGGUGACUCUGCCAGCUGAGGAAGUUCCCCCGGAGCUCCCUGAGCCUGCUUUGGGCAUUAAUUUUGCCAGGGACGGUAUGAGUCGUAAAGAUUGGCUUUCUCUUGUGGCUGUCCAUAGUGACUGUUGGUUGCUUUCCAUGGCAUUCUACUUUGGUGCACGACUUAAUCGCAAUGACAGGAAGCGAUUGUUUAGCAUGAUAAAUGAUCUGCCCACCCUCUUUGAAAUUGUAACUGGGAGGAAACCUGUAGAAGACAAACCCAGUGCGGAAAGUGGCAGCAAAUCCAGGAAUAACACAAAGAGAUCAAUAGAUGGACAGGCGAGAAGUAAUUUCAAGUUAAGUUAUGUGGAGGAUGAAGACGAGCAUGGAGACACCAUUUGUGGGAGCUGUGCAGGGAACUACAAUGCCGAUGAGUUUUGGAUUGGUUGUGACAUCUGUGAACGAUGGUACCAUGGAAAAUGUGUGAAGAUAACACCAGCAAAAGCAGAAAGUAUCAAGCAGUACAAAUGCCCUUCUUGCAGCACAAAGAAGUCUAGGCACUAACAGACAGCAAAGCUUUCGAGGGAUCUACCUCAUUAUUGCUCACUGAUGUUGUUCCAAAGCACGAUAGUUUUUUCUUUUAUUGCUUAAAAAAAAGGUGUUAAGGUUCCAUCUGGGGAUUACAGUGCUUAUCUAAGUGAAUGUUGUUUUAACUAUGGGGUCUUCACACCGAGAAAUUCUUGUCUUAGAUUUUGGUUAACGAUAGUUUAUGGAGUAUGUGAUUAAAUAUUAAUGGUGC